CCCUUAGAUGUUCUGGGCGGCCCGCGCACUACAAUGGCGCUUUCAGCGAGUUCCUAUGUUGAAUUUUCCUUGGUAUUCUUGGAAGCGGCGUCUUGACUUGGGAUAGAUCCUUGUAAUUGUUGGUUUUGAACGAGGAAUUCCUUGUAAUCGCGGUUGAUCAGCUCGCGUUGAAUACGUCCCUGCCCUUUGUACACACCGCCCGUCGCUCCUACCGAUGAAUCGUCCGGUGAAGUUCACAGAGUGGCGGUUCGUGGAGUUGCUCGCGAAGUGAAGUGGACCUCACGAUUUAGAGGAAGGAGAAGUCGUAACA
rnacentral:rRNA from 1 species